AGUGAACGCUGGCGGUAGGCCUAACACAUGCAAGUCGAACGGCAGCACAGUAAGAGCUUGCUCUUACGGGUGGCGAGUGGCGGACGGGUGAGGAAUACAUCGGAAUCUACUUUUUCGUGGGGGAUAACGUAGGGAAACUUACGCUAAUACCGCAUACGACCUACGGGUGAAAGCAGGGGAUCUUCGGACCUUGCGCGAUUGAAUGAGCCGAUGUCGGAUUAGCUAGUUGGCGGGGUAAAGGCCCACCAAGGCGACGAUCCGUAGCUGGUCUGGGAGGAUGAUCAGCCACAUUGGAACUGAGACACGGUCCAGACUCCUACGGGAGGCAGCAGUGGGGAAUAUUGGACAAUGGGCGCAAGCCUGAUCCAGCCAUACCGCGUGGGUGAAGAAGGCCUUCGGGUUGUAAAGCCCUUUUGUUGGGAAAGAAAAGCAGCAGGUUAAUACCCCGCUGUUCUGACGGUACCCAAAGAAUAAGCACCGGCUAACUUCGUG
rnacentral:rRNA from 1 species